rnacentral:rRNA from 1 species
CCUACGGGGGGCAGCAGUAGGGAAUAUUGCGCAAUGGGCGAAAGCCUGACGCAGCGACGCCGCGUGGGUGAUGAAGGCCUUCGGGUUGUAAAACUCUGUCCUUGGGGAAGAAGGAAGUGACGGUACCCAAGGAGGAAGCCCCGGCUAACUACGUGCCAGCAGCCGCGGUAAAACGUAGGGGGCGAGCGUUGUCCGGAUUUACUGGGUGUAAAGGGCGCGUAGGCGGGUUCUUAAGUCCGGUGUGAAAUACCUCGGCUCAACCGGGGGGGUGCACUGGAAACUGGGGAUCUUGAGUGCUGGAGAGGGAAGCGGAAUUCCUAGUGUAGCGGUGAAAUGCGUAGAUAUUAGGAGGAACACCAGUGGCGAAGGCGGCUUUCUGGACAGUAACUGACGCUGAGGCGCGAAAGCGUGGGGAGCAAACAGGAUUAGAUACCCUGGUAGUC